rnacentral:pre_miRNA from 1 species
GACCUACUCCUUCCGUCCCGAAAUACUUGUCAUCAAAAUGAAUAAAAUGGGAUGUAUCUAGAUGUAUUUUAGUUCUACAUACAUCCUUUUUUAUCUAUUUUGAUGACAAGUAUUUUCGGACGGAGGGAGUACUUA